CUUCUUUAUUUAAAUGAUCGCUUUGCCAAUUUAUUUGGCAGGGAGGAAAGUCCGAGCAGCUUUUAAGAUGCUGUAGUGGGUAACGCCCAUCCUUCUAAGCCUAAAACUUAGAAUGAGGACCAGUGCCACAGAGACUAUACUAGUCCUUCGAAGCUUUAUGCGUAGAAGGACAAAAGGUGAAAAGCCCGGCUUUAAGCAGGGACAUUUUAAAGCAAUUUGUUUUAGAAUUGUCGGUAAACUCUACAGGCUGCAAGGUGGAAUGGGAAGAUUUGAAUAUCGGGGCAAAAUCUUAGACCCGCAAACUUCUCCACCGCUAAAAUUUCAUAGCAAUAUGAAAUUUAGAUAGAUGAUCAUAUUAGGGCUCGUAAAUAUCAUACAGAACUCGGCUUAUAAAUAAGGAAGGGUU
rnacentral:RNase_P_RNA from 2 species